rnacentral:lncRNA from 1 species
CCAAAGCAGAAGUCAGCAGGAAUGGGAGCUGCAACAAAGCACGAAGAAGAGAAAACAGAAAACAUCCAUUGAAUCCUCUGCCUCUGGUAAUGUAUGGCUCCCAGUAUGCCUCCUUCAAGAGCAUGACUGACCCAAUUACUAGUAUGAGCAAAAGGUAUCUAAAGUAAAUGGCCUUAUGUAUAAUCCUGAAUUAUAAAUGGCUGAAGAGGAACAGCCCCAGUCUGCAGCGCCCAGGGAGACCAACGCAGAAGGCAGAAAGUUUCAGAAAGGUGAUGAAAUUUAAGCUGGGCUUUAAAGGCUACAUCAAAUUUGACAAAUGGAAUUGUGAGGAAAGCACAUUAGAAGUAAAGAGUGAACCCACAAAAACAAGAGAACAUCAUGUUUCUAGAGGCUGCCUGCAUUCCUUGGCUAAUGACUUUGCAUCACUCUGACGUCUUGCUCCCAUGGUCGUAUCACCUACUACUGGCCCUGAUCUCACUACUUGUUAUAUGGAACAAAGGGAUAAGGAAGUGACUUGCCUAAGUCACUGAGGAACCUAAUAUUGAGAUUAGCACUCAAUGAUUCCUGGCUCUCAGAAUGUGUGCUGCUACCACCAGGCCACACUCUUCCCUCCAGAGAGAAGAUGUGUCAGCACGGAAUUGUGCUGAAGCAAAGAUGUGAAAUAGAAUGAUUACAUAUCUACCUAGUGGGAAGAUCUGGGGAAGAAUCUAUCAGUGCUGGCAGAGAAGCAAACCAUACGACAUCACUCAUCCCCAGAAAGUGAAGUUAAGGGAAAUAAAAAACAAUCUACACCAUUUAGAAAACACAGCCACCCCAUACCCUUGGAAAAAAUACACUAAAAUAUCUUCAUCUGAUUUGACCUCUAAUAACAUGAAUAAUUGUCUUAUAACUCACUUUCUUACCUCUUGAUUAUUCUACAGAUCCGGCACAUAUGAGCAAAAUCUGAUGAAAUUCACUCAUUUAAUUUGAAGAUUUUAAUUAUGUAGAAAAAGUAGGUUCGCAUUCUUUCUUAUUAAUAGAGUUCAAAAGACUUAAGGCCUAGAGUCUAG